AAUUAUGGUGUGUGACAUAGCAAUAUUUUUAGGAAUCUCAAACAUUUUAUAAAAACCAAACUAUAUUUACUUAUAAAUUAAUUGAUGGUAAUUAUGCAGAAUUGCUUGGGGCGAUUGUAGAUGUUGGGUGAUAAUAGGUUUUUAGUCAAUUAUCCUAAAACACCAAUCAUGUCGUUGUAGUAUUUUAGGUUGUCAAUCCAAAAGGGUGUGUUGCUAACAAUCAAGAUGUGAUCAAAAGUCACUAAGUCAAGCCAAGCAAUAACAGGUUUUAGUGUGUUUUAGCAGUCCUAAGUGAAGAUGCAGAAAACAAAAAAUCAAGCAGAAACAAUAAAACACUCGACCAACACAGCUCGUUGCAAAGCACUGGGUGUGGUCGAGUGACCGGUCGAGUAAAAGGCAGUAAAUGAAACAGAGAUACUCGACUGCACAGUCUGUUGCCAGAAAACUGGGUGGUCGAGUAUAACGUCGAGUAACAGGAGAAAAUGCAAAAACUAAACAACAAGUAACACGAUGCAGUAAACAACAGUAGAGUAAUUGAGUAGUUUCGUUUCCUCAGUUUAUAGGUGAUUGACAUGCUCAAUAAAUUAUCCCUAGACAACAAGUUCGGUAACCAAAUCUAAGUGCCAACGCAACAGAGACCCUGAAGUUAAACCAGUCCCAGACACAAUCACCAUUGACGAGAGCUUACCUAACAGGCAUUACGAAUCAACAGGUUAAGGCCAAAACGCUCCCUGCAACCAAUACCUUGGUACAGAGCCACGAAUCUCUGGAAUUAGUGGUUCAGACAUUUCAUCGAACACCUUUUGGGCGUAGAAAUGUCUGCGCUCAAAUUCCAGUUGAUCAAAAAGCAAUAGGCAUUAAGAACAACUAAUCCAAACGGGAUCUAUAAAUCAAACUCAAACUCCUAGCACACUGAGAAUUCUAAACUACUCUAACCCAUCCUCCGAAACCUAUUCAUUACUCAUACAUCAUUGUAGAGAACAUAAACAUUGAAUAGAAUGAAAACAUGAUAACAACAAAAUAAUAGCAAGAUGAUAAUAGGAUGAACAACAGUAGACGAAAUCAAAAGAAAAAUGCUGAAUACUGAAUAGAUUAAGAGAAAUCCGGAUUACAAAAUGUCAAGAACACAGUGUCUAUGGAAUAAAAACUUAGAAAAACGAAAAUUUAAAGAACAUGUUACUUAUAGCAAAAUAUUCUGAAACCCUAAUACUCAAAACGACGCACUAUUGGGACGCAGUAAGAACUAUACUCGACCAGCUGGUCGAGUUAGUGGUUGAGUGAUAUAUUGGAGUCUUCUUUUCUUUCUCGUGCUUGAGUGUCUGGUUGAGUGCGAAAUGGAGAUGAUGCUGAAGCUAGCAUCCGAGUAUGUAGUCGAGUGAUAGAGAUGGUGGUACUCGGCUUGGUGGUAGAGUGAUCGAGUGAAGGUGAUGAAGGUACUCGACCAUGUGGUCGAGUAGUGUGAUCGAGUGAAGGUGAUUUGGUGGACGUGAUGAUACUUGACCAGGGGGUCGAGUGAUGUGAUCGAGUGAUUGUCUUGGCGGUACUCGACCAGUGGGUCGAGUGGUGUUGUGAAGUGAUGAGGCCAUCUACUCGACCAGGGGGUCGAGUAGUUUGUUAAAGUCGUGGAACCAUCUACUCGACCAGGGGUUCGAGUGUUUUGCAGUGAUCAGGUCCGCUUCUUCCAAUUAUCUCGCCAACAGCUCCAAAUCACCUGAAAACAACACAAAUAUGCAACAUGCAUGUAAAACUAUCAUAAACAUGCAAAGUGAUGACAAAUGAUGAGAAAUGAUAUAAAACAGUGAUGAUAUGACGCUAAAGUGAUGAUAAAUGGAUGCUCAAAACAGGCAAAAUGCACACUUAUCAACUCCUCCAAACUUAGUCUUUGCUUGCCCUCAAGCAAACAAUUAAGAACAAGCUGGAGGUGAGAUUUGAAAGCGGGGACUCAGAGCCAAAGCACCAGAUAACCCAGAUGAAAUCAAUGUCCAAGUUGAUAGUUCUAAGCUGCGAUAUGAUCGAAUUCUACUCAAAAACGUUAGCCAUGCCUUGUUAUUAAUCAAUCUGACUGUUAUGCUCGACCUACACAUGUUUUCAAAUCUACCAAUCCCUUUAACAUUCAUUAGUUCUGGAACGUGAAUCAAGCAAUGCAUCAUCAAUGAACUCAUUUGGCUAAGGUAAAGGUCAAGAGACAAAGAUUGUCCCUUACAGAAUAGGCUUCAAUAACAGGGGAUCUCUCAAAAAAUGAUUAAGCUUUAGUAGAAUGCUAAAGGUAAGUCCAACGCUAUGCAUACAGAGAUAAGAUCCCAUCUACGCUGAGUAUAUCAAAUGAAGCUCUAAUGGUAAUCCCAUCUCCAAUCCCAAUAUAAGAACCUAACUCUACCCUUUGCAUUCAUGAAUCUUUUAAGCCCUUUUUCUAAUCAUUCUUUUCUUUUCUCUUAACUCUAGGAGAAGCUUUCUCAACACUUUGAUAUAUCUAGCGGAUUUCGAUUUCUUUAACAACUAUGGUUCCUGAUUUUGAAAUUUUAAAACCGAGGGCUUUUGCCCUUCUUCAAUAGCUAACAAGAACUCUUUCUUUUCUUUACAAAUCCCAAAACCUUUGCUAGACUUUUUCCGCUUCUUUAGCUUACUUCACCUAGAGUCUUUUACCUUUUCUCAUCAAUGAAUCAACCUUUUUU
rnacentral:sRNA from 1 species